rnacentral:sRNA from 1 species
UGAUUCUACGAAAGUCAGGUUGACGGC